UACGUAGGGUGCGAGCGUUGUCCGGAAUUAUUGGGCGUAAAGAGCUCGUAGGCGGCUUGUCGCGUCGGAUGUGAAAGCCCGGGGCUUAACUCCGGGUCUGCAUUCGAUACGGGCAGGCUAGAGUUCGGUAGGGGAGAUCGGAAUUCCUGGUGUAGCGGUGAAAUGCGCAGAUAUCAGAGGAACACCGGUGGCGAAGGCGGAAUCUCUGGGCCGAUACUGACGCUGAGGAGCGAAAGCGUGGGGAGCGAACAGG
rnacentral:rRNA from 1 species